rnacentral:rRNA from 1 species
GAUGAACGCUGGCGGCGUGCCUAAUACAUGCAAGUCGAACGAGGUGCUUUUGUAGCAAUACGAGAGUAUCCUAGUGGCGAACGGGUGAGUAACGCGUGGAUGACCUGCCCCAAAGUGUGGGAUAACAGUCCGAAAGGAUUGCUAAUACCUCAUGUGGUUAUCGGUUUUAGUAAAGACGAUAACUAAAGCAGCAAUGCGCUUUGGGAGGGAUCUGCGUCCCAUCAGCUAGUUGGUGAGGUAACGGCUCACCAAGGCGACGACGGGUAGGGGACCUGAGAGGGUGGCCCCCCACAAUGGAACUGAAACACGGUCCAUACACCUACGGGUGGCAGCAGUAGGGAAUAUUGCUCAAUGGGCGAAAGCCUGAAGCAGCAACGCCGCGUGUGCGAUGAAGGCCUUCGGUCGUAAGAC